UACGGAGGGUGCAAGCGUUAUCCGGAUUUACUGGGUUUAAAGGGUGCGUAGGUGGGUUGGGAAGUCAGUGGUGAAAUACUUUCGCUUAACGAAGGAACUGCCAUUGAUACUAUCAAUCUUGAAUGUAGUGGAGGUAGGCGGAAUGCGUCAUGUAGCGGUGAAAUGCUUAGAUAUGACGCAGAACACCAAUUGCGAAGGCAGCUUGCUACACUACUAUUGACACUGAGGCACGAAAGCGCUGGGGAUCAAACAGGAGUUAAG
rnacentral:rRNA from 1 species